GGAAGGAUCAUUACCGAACCGUCGACACGAGUUGUUGCUGGUCCUCGAAAGGGGGCAUGUGCACGCUCUGUUUGCACAUCCACCCACACCUGUGCACCCUCUGUAGUUCUAUGGCCCUUGGGGGCUCUGCCCUCUUGCCGUGGUCCUACGUCUUUACACACACACACCGUAAUGAAGUCUCAUGGAAUGCGUAUGUCGCGUUUAACGCAAUACAAUACAACUUUCAGCAACGGAUCUCUUGGCUCUCGCAUCGAUGAAGAACGCAGCGAAAUGCGAUAAGUAAUGUGAAUUGCAGAAUUCAGUGAAUCAUCGAAUCUUUGAACGCACCUUGCGCCCUUUGGCUAUUCCGAAGGGCAUGCCUGUUUGAGUAUCAUGAACACCUCAACUCUCAUGGCCUGCCAUGAUGAGCUUGGACUUUGGGGGUCUUGCUGGCGCACCGUCGGCUCCUCUCAAAUGAAUCAGCUUGCCAGUGUUUGGUGGCAUCACGGGUGUGAUAACUAUCUACGCUUGUGGUUUUCCACCAAGCAACCUCCAGUGAUGGAGGUUCGCUGGAGCUCACAAAUGUCUCUCCUCAGCGAGGACAGCUUCAUGAACGUUUGAUCUCAAAUCAGGUAGGACUACCCGCUGAACUUAAGCAUAUCAAUAAGCGGAGGAAAAGAAACUAACAAGGAUUCCCCUAGUAACUGCGAGUGAAGCGGGAAGAGCUCAAAUUUAAAAUCUGGCGUGCCUCUGGCCGUCCGAGUUGUAGUCUGGAGAAGCGUUUUCCGCGUUGGACCGUGUAUAAGUCCCUUGGAACAGGGCGUCGUAGAGGGUGAGAAUCCCGUCUUUGACACGGACCGCCGAUGCUUUGUGAUGCGCUCUCAAAGAGUCGAGUUGUUUGGGAAUGCAGCUCAAAAUGGGUGGUAAAUUCCAUCUAAAGCUAAAUAUAG
rnacentral:rRNA from 1 species